GCGCCUCUCGCUUCAUCUGUGCCUACGACCUUAAUUUCUCUGGAUUUGGAGGGGUUUUGGAGGCCGGAUCUUGCUAAAAUUUAGAUGUGGAGAGAGCUGGAAAGUUUCAGGUUUCGUUGAUUUACGUUUUAUGUGCAGUGCCAAUUGAUUCGCUAUGGAUUCCGUAUCAAGUCGCGAGGAUUCUUGGGAAGAUGUUUGCAGUAUCAAUUUGAUGCCCUCGGCAUUGUAAGUCGCCUUCAAAUUAUGAUCUAUGUUUCACAGUUCAGAUGAUUUCAAGCCAAGCUUGUGCUGAAGCCAGUACAUCCGAACGAGCAUUGGAAAUUAUCUUCGAGCCAAUUCGACAAGACACACAUCUUCAGAUGCACGCCACUAGUUGGAAACGGAGGCUAGCUAACAACAUGUUCGGUUGAAUUCGACAAGGCUGUAGGCACUGGUGAAUUGUUGUUUAACUUGAACUCAUGAAGGCCGGAAGGACACACAGUGAUGAAUCGACCCACCGCUAUUAGGUAUUGUCUUCUUUGGCCUGUUUUGUAUCGUCGUUAGUUUCACAGUUCCAAAACGAAUUUGUUAGGGAGCGAUUUCCACACCCUUAUAAAGAAUGUUUCAUUUCUCUCUUCAAAUCGAUGUGAGAUCUACCAGUUACAAUGUGAGAUCUACUGGUUAACUCUCAGAUCACCCAUUUUGAACUUGAGAAGAUGAAAAGCAUAGCAGCUGUAUAAUUCAAAGCUUCUAAAGGAUGAA